UGCACACCUGCAUGUUUUUCUCUAACUUGUGGACAAAGACUUACAGACAGUUUCCAGAAAUAAAUCCUCUUUUGCAACCCAAAGCUCAUUGUUCAGUAUGAGUUUUGAUACAUGUAAGAGGAGAUAUU
ensembl:snoRNA